AUGGCAGAGCCGGUUACCAAGUCUGUGCUGUUUGUGUGUCUAGGUAACAUUUGUCGAUCACCCAUUUCAGAAGCAGUUUUCAGGAAACUUGUAACUGAUCAAAACAUCUCAGAGAACUGGGUCAUUGACAGUGGUGCUGUUUCUGACUGAAACCUGGGCCAGUCCCCAGACCCAAGAGCUGUGAGCUGCCUAAGAAAUCAUGGCAUUCACACCACCCAUAAAGCAAGACAGAUUACCAAAGAAGAUUUUGCCACAUUUGAUUAUAUGCUAUGUAUGGAUGAAAGCAAUCUGAGAGAUUUGAAUAUAAAAAGUAAUCAAGUUAAAACCUGCAAAGCUAAAAUUGAACUACUUGGGAGUAAUGAUCCACAAAAACAACUUAUUAUUGAAGAUCCCUAUUAUAGGAAUGUCUCUGACUUUGAGACGGUGUACCAGCAGUGCGUCAGGUGCUGCAGAGCAUUCUUGGAGGAGGCCCACUGA